rnacentral:tmRNA from 1 species
GGGGACGAAUUGGCUUCGACUGCUGUGUUUUCGGGGUACUUGUUGCGUGUCGAGUUGAGGAACUCGUAAAAACCUCAAAAACUAAACAGCCAACAACGAACUGGCCCUGGCCGCUUAAUUUAAGCAACCAGCGCUCGCUGUAGCCUCUCCUUUUGGGCCGCAGACCGAGUGUCAAAAUAGAAAGGAACUGUCAGAUGGGCUCAACCUGCAAUCUGGCUAAGACUUACAGGUUGAAAAUCUCAUGCAGGCCCCGUCGGCAGGCAUCGCAUGGGAUUAUCAAUUGCCGACUACGCACGUAGAAGCAAGUGCUUCGCACCGUAGGACGCGGGUUCAACUCCCGCCGUCUCCAACU